rnacentral:rRNA from 1 species
CCCUUAGAUGUUCUGGGCUGCACGCGCGCUACACUGAAGGUAUCAGCAUGUGUCUCCCUCCCAGAGAUGGGCGGGUAACCCGCGAAUCUCCUUCGUGCUAGGGAUUGAGGUUUGCAAUUAUCCUUCAUGAACGAGGAAUUCCCAGUAAGUGCAAGUCAUAAGCUUGCGCUGACUACGUCCCUGCCCUUUGUACACACCGCCCGUCGCUACUACCGAUUGAAUGAUUUAGUGAGGACUUCGGACUGGGACCGAUGCGGCUUUCGGGCUGCGUCGGUAUUCUGGAAAGAUGUCCAAACUGUAUCAUUUAGAGGAAGUAAAANUCGUANCA